rnacentral:tRNA from 1 species
GGUCCGUUAGCUCAGCUGGUUAGAGCGUCGUGCAAUUAACGUGAAAGUCACGGGUUCGAUCCCCUACGGGCCA